rnacentral:rRNA from 1 species
GGGUUGUGAGGUUAAGCGACUAAGCGUACACGGUGGAUGCCCUGGCAGUCAGAGGCGAUGAAGGACGUGCUAAUCUGCGAUAAGCGCCGGUAAGGUGAUAUGAACCGUUAUAACCGGCGAUUUCCGAAUGGGGAAACCCAGUGUGAUUCGUCACACUAUCAUUAACUGAAUCCAUAGGUUAAUGAGGCGAACCGGGGGAACUGAAACAUCUAAGUACCCCGAGGAAAAGAAAUCAACCGAGAUUCCCCCAGUAGCGGCGAGCGAACGGGGAGGAGCCCAGAGCCUGAAUCAGCAUGUGUGUUAGUGGAAGCGUCUGGAAAGGCGCGCGAUACAGGGUGACAGCCCCGUACACAAAAGCGCAUGUGCUGUGAGCUCGAUGAGUAGGGCGGGACACGUGGUAUCCUGUCUGAAUAUGGGGGGACCAUCCUCCAAGGCUAAAUACUCCUGACUGACCGAUAGUGAACCAGUACCGUGAGGGAAAGGCGAAAAGAACCCCGGCGAGGGGAGUGAAAAAGAACCUGAAACCGUGUACGUACAAGCAGUGGGAGCCCCACCACUAAGCCAGUGGUGAACUCCACAUACGCAUCCUUUGCUGAGGAUACGGUUAACGGAGCGAAAGCGACGUUCAACCUCAAAAGAAGCAGAGGGGGCUUAGUGGUGGGGUGACUGCGUACCUUUUGUAUAAUGGGUCAGCGACUUAUAUUCUGUAGCAAGGUUAACCGUAUAGGGGAGCCGGAGGGAAACCGAGUCUUAAUUGGGCGUUAAGUUGCAGGGUAUAGACCCGAAACCCGGUGAUCUAGCCAUGGGCAGGUUGAAGGUUGGGUAACACUAACUGGAGGACCGAACCGACUAAUGUUGAAAAAUUAGCGGAUGACCUGUGGCUGGGGGUGAAAGGCCAAUCAAACCGGGAGAUAGCUGGUUCUCCCCGAAAGCUAUUUAGGUAGCGCCUCGUGAAUUCAUCUUCGGGGGUAGAGCACUGUUUCGGCUAGGGGGUCAUCCCGACUUACCAACCCGAUGCAAACUGCGAAUACCGGAGAAUGUUAUCACGGGAGACACACGGCGGGUGCUAACGUCCGUCGUGAAGAGGGAAACAACCCAGACCGCCAGCUAAGGUCCCAAAGUCAUGGU